AGUCGAACGGUGGUAGCAAUACCAUAGUGGCGCACGGGUGCGUAACGCGUAACCAACCUACCCGAAUCUGGGGGAUAGCCCGCCGAAAGGCGGAUUAAUACCGCAUAACACAAGGUGGCGGCAUCGUCUCUUUGUUAAAGAUUUAUUGGAUUCGGAUGGGGUUGCGUGUCAUUAGCUAGUUGGGGGGGUAACGGCCCACCAAGGCGACGAUGGCUAGGGGAGCUGAGAGGCUGGUCCCCCACACGGGCACUGAGAUACGGGCCCGACUCCUACGGGAGGCAGCAGUAGGGAAUAUUGGGCAAUGGGCGAGAGCCUGACCCAGCCAUGCCGCGUGCAGGAUGAAGGCUUUCUGAGUCGUAAACUGCUUUUGCCAGGGAAGAAAAAAGGGGAUGCGUCCUCUACUGACGGUACCUGGUGAAUAAGCACCGGCUAACUCCGUGCCAGCAGCCGCGGUAAUACGGAGGGUGCAAGCGUUGUCCGGAUUUAUUGGGUUUAAAGGGUGCGUAGGCGGCUGAUUAAGUCUGGGGUGAAAGCCCGUUGCUCAACAACGGAACUGCCCUGGAAACUGGUUGGCUUGAGUACAGACGAGGGUGGCGGAAUGGAUGCUGUAGCGGUGAAAUGCAUAGAUAGCAUCCAGAACCCCGAUUGCGAAGGCAGCUGCCUAGACUGUAACUGACGCUGAGGCACGAAAGCGUGGGGAGCGAACAGGAUUAGAUACCCUGGUAGUCCACGCCGUAAACGAUGGAUACUCGCUGGUGGCGAUAGACGGUCACUGGCUUAGCGAAAGCGUUAAGUAUCCCACCUGGGGAGUACGCCCGCAAGGGUGAAACUCAAAAGAAUUGAC
rnacentral:rRNA from 1 species